UCCCUACGGGAGGCAGCAGUGAGGAAUAUUGGUCAAUGGGCGGGAGCCUGAACCAGCCAAGCCGCGUGAGGGAAGAAGGUACAGCGUAUCGUAAACCUCUUUUGUCAGGGAACAAAGGCGGGGACUAGUCCCCGGAUGAGGGUACCUGAAGAAAAAGCAUCGGCUAACUCCGUGCCAGCAGCCGCGGUAAUACGGAGGAUGCGAGCGUUAUCCGGAUUUAUUGGGUUUAAAGGGUGCGCAGGCGGCGUGUCAAGCAAGCGGUAAAAUAGCGGGGCUCAACCCCGUCGAGCCGUUUGAACUGGCGG
rnacentral:rRNA from 1 species